rnacentral:rRNA from 1 species
CCCGCUGAACUUAAGCAUAUCAAUAAGCGGAGGAAAAGAAACUAACAAGGAUUCCCCUAGUAACUGCGAGUGAAGCGGGAAGAGCUCAAAUUUGAAAUCUGGCAGUCCUUUGGCUGUCCGAGUUGUAAUCUAGAGAAGUGGUGCCCGCGCUGGACCGUGUAUAAGUCUCCUGGGAUGGAGCGUCAUAGAGGGUGAGAAUCCCGUCUCUGACACGGACUACCAGGGCUUUGUGGUACGCUCUCGAAGAGUCGAGUUGUUUGGGAAUGCAGCUCAAAAUGGGUGGUAAAUUCCAUCUAAAGCUAAAUAUUGGCGAGAGACCGAUAGCGAACAAGUACCGUGAGGGAAAGAUGAAAAGAACUUUGGAAAGAGAGUUAAACAGUACGUGAAAUUGCUGAAAGGGAAACGCUUGAAGUCAGUCACAUUGGCCGGAAAUCAGCCUCACUUUUGUGUGGUGUACUUUUUGGUUGAUGAGUCAGCAUCAAUUUUGACCGCUGGAAAAAGGCUUGAGGAAUGUGGCAGCUUCGGCUGUGUUAUAGCUUCAUGUCAUAUACAGUGGUUGGGAUUGAGGAACUCAGCACGCCGCAAGGCCGGGUCUCGACCACGUUCGUGCUUAGGAUGCUGGCAUAAUGGCUUUAAGCGACCCGUCUUGAAACACGG